GACGAACGCUGGCGGCGUGCUUAACACAUGCAAGUCGAACGGAAAGGCCCUGCUUUUGUGGGGUGCUCGAGUGGCGAACGGGUGAGUAACACGUGAGUAACCUGCCCUUGACUUUGGGAUAACUUCAGGAAACUGGGGCUAAUACCGGAUAGGAGCUCCUGCUGCAUGGUGGGGGUUGGAAAGUUUCGGCGGUUGUGGAUGGACUCGGGGCUUAUUAGCUUGUUGGGGGGGGAGUGGCAUACCCAGGGUUUGGCGGGUAGCCGGCCUGAGAGGGUGGACGGGCACAAUGGUACUAAGAGACGGCCCAGACUCGUACGGGAGGCAGCAGGGGGAAAUAUUGCACAAUGGGCGGGAGCCUGAGGCAGCAGCGCCGCGAGCGGGAAGACGGCCUUCGGGUUGUAAACCGCUUUCGGCUGUGACGAAGCGUGAGUGACGGUAAUGGGUAAAGAAGCACCGGCUAACUACGUG
rnacentral:rRNA from 1 species